rnacentral:miRNA from 1 species
UCAAUGCCUGCUCUAUCGGUUC